GAAGAGGAGAAGAGGAGAUGAAGGAGAGGAGCGAGGGAGGAGCGCGUUCCCUCUCACGGGUGUGCCAAUACUCAACGUAGAGAAGGACAUGGAACUGUACAGCACAGAAACAGGCCCUUCGGGACAGAAACAGGCCCGCUAUGUCUGUGCCGAACAUGAUGCCACGUGAUUAAGGAUUUUCCGCGUCAACAGGGUCGUGAAACCAAAUGGUCAACCAGGAGAUCGUGAAGAUUCCACGCACAAGAGCAGCAAGCAGAGGUCAGGGUUGAACUGAGGAAUGAGGGGAAAUAAUUCAGGGAGGAUUAGAGAGAGAGAGGGAGAGAGAGUGAGAGAGAGAGAUGUAUCAUUGAGAGAAGGAUGGUGUGUCAGUGAGAGAGAUAGUGUCAGUAACCAAGGUGUGGAGUGCAUUGGUGAUUCAAGAGAGUUUAUUGUCAUGUGUCCCAGAUAGGACAAUGAAAUCCUUGCUUUGCUUCAGCACAACAGAACAUAGUAGGCAUGAAUCCAGAACA